UACGAAGGGUGCAAGCGUUGUUCGGAAUUACUGGGCGUAAAGCGCGCGUAGGCGGGCUUUGAAGUCGAAUGUGAAAUCCCCGGGCUCAACCUGGGAACUGCAUUCGAUACUCUUAGUCUUGAAUGCUUGAGGGGGUGGCGGAAUUCCAGGUGUAGAAGUGAAAUUCGUAGAUAUCUGGAGGAACACCGGAGGCGAAGGCGGCCACCUGGCAAGACAUUGACGCUGAUGCGCGAAAGCGUGGGGAGCAAACAGG
rnacentral:rRNA from 1 species